CAGUAGCCGCGGUAAAACGGAGGGUGCAAGCGUUAAUCGGAAUUACUGGGCGUAAAGCGUGCGUAGGCGGUUCGUUAAGUCUGUUGUGAAAGCCCCGGGCUCAACCUGGGAAUGGCAAUGGAUACUGGCGAGCUAGAGUGUGUCAGAGGAUGGUGGAAUUCCCGGUGUAGCGGUGAAAUGCGUAGAGAUCGGGAGGAACAUCAGUGGCGAAGGCGGCCAUCUGGGACAACACUGACGCUGAGGCACGAAAGCGUGGGGAGCAAACAGGAUUAGAGCCCCUGUAGUCCCUGUCUCUUAUACC
rnacentral:rRNA from 1 species